CCUACGGGAGGCUGCAGUGGGGAAUAUUGGACAAUGGGGGCAACCCUGAUCCAGCCAUGCCGCGUGUGUGAAGAAGGCCCUCGGGUUGUAAAGCACUUUCAGUGAGGAAGAACGCCUGGUGGUUAAUACCCAUCAGGAAAGACAUCACUCACAGAAGAAGCACCGGCUAACUCCGUGCCAGCAGCCGCGGUAAUACGGAGGGUGCGAGCGUUAAUCGGAAUUACUGGGCGUAAAGCGCGCGUAGGUGGCUUGAUAAGCCGGUUGUGAAAGCCCCGGGCUCAACCUGGGAACGGCAUCCGGAACUGUCAAGCUAGAGUGCAGGAGAGGAAGGUAGAAUUCCCGGUGUAGCGGUGAAAUGCGUAGAGAUCGGGAGGAAUACCAGUGGCGAAGGCGGCCUUCUGGACUGACACUGACACUGAGGUGCGAAAGCGUGGGUAGCAAACAGGAUUAGAUACCCCCGUAGUC
rnacentral:rRNA from 1 species